AAUCAACCCACAGGCACGAAAUCACAAGGGCUGAAAUGUGAGCAACUAGGGGGAAGCCAGGAGACUUCGUUUCCAGAGAACCCUGAACAGCCUUCUGCCGGUCACAGAUGAGACAGGGAUGAGGAAAUGCCGCUACAGACCCUCUGAUCUGUCCACCCUCGCCUGAAAACCAGUAUUUCCGAAGGAAUUCUUACCAGCCAAAGUGACUCCAAGAAGACUGGCUAAAACUUAGCAGCGUGCCGCAGCCGAACACAAACCCCAGGAAACAAGCUCGGAUGGCUAUCUGAAAGGAACCCAAGAGAAGCUCAGUCAUUCACAGUCCUCAGAGUACAGAUCUGGGCUGCUGACCUUCCCGGAAUAGGCAACCCACAGACACAGGGUCUCACUGUGUUGGCCAGGCUGGAGUGCGGCAGUCUGGAACUCCUGGGCCCAAGUGAUCCUCCAAUCAGCCUCACAAAGCACUGGAAUUACAGAUGGAGUUUUGCUCUUGUUGCCCAGGCUGGAGUACAAUGGCGCAAUCUCGGCUCACUGCAACCUCCGCCUCCGGGUUCAAGUGAUUCUCCUGCCUCAGCCUCCUGAGUAGCUGGGAUUACAGGAGCCUACUACCACGGCCAGCUAAUUUUUUUGUAUUUUUAGUAGAGACGGGGCUUUACCAUGUUGGCCAGGCUGGUUUCAAACUCCUGACCUCAGGUGAUCCACCCGCCUCGGCCUCCCAAACUGCUGGGAUUAUAGGCAUGAGCCACCGUGCCCGGCCCAUAGAUUACUUUUAUAAUCAAGUUUUUCUUUACUUUUUAAAGAGUAAAUUCUCUCACCUCAGGUAGCUCAGAGAGCUGCGCUGGAGGAGAAAAGCCAGUCCUGGCAGGAGCUCUGGUACCUGGGAAGCUGGAUGGAGAGCCUGGGCCAGAAUCCCGGACCCCUCACCUCUGCGGCCUAGCUUUGUGACCUUGGCAAAUCCAUUCUAUGCACCUCCAUUUCCUGUACAGUGGGGAUCCUUAUUUCUCUGGCACAGAUUGGUAUUUGUUCUGUAAAGCCCAGUACCACUUUAUUUUAUUUUAGUUAUUGAUUUUUUUGAGACAGGGCCUCACUCUGUUGCCAAGGCUGGAAUGCAGUGGCGAGAUCAUAGCUCACUGCAGCCUCAAACUCCUGGGCUCAGGCCAUCCUCCUGCCUCGGCCUCCUGAGUAGCUGGGACGACAGGCGUGCACCACUGCGCCUAGCUCCAGUACCAUGUUUAAACGGUGCUCAGAAAACGUGCUAAACUUGGUGGAUGGGAAUUGAAAAGAGAUUUAAUGUUUUAAAAAUCAAAGUCACUCAGCUGCAGUGCCACAUGGGAAGGAGGCCUGGAUGUGAAUGUUCCUGGGAGCUGAGAGCUCCUGUGACUGUCGCCAGUUUCCUGUGGUCUCCCACAGACUCAGGACAUCUCCCUCUGCUCCAGGACACCUCAGGACCACCAGAGGGCACUCAUCGCACCUUCACCCCUGGAAGGGAGCUGGUCCUGGGGCCAAAACCCACUGUGCCUGGGAAGCCCUUCCUGGCUUCUGCUCUCCUCAAUGUAUGACAGCCCUGAUUUACCCCCAGGGACUGUUGCCACUCGGGGUUGUAGAGUAAUAUGUAACCAGACUGGAGAACCACAGCAAUGCUCUCUCCUCUGCCCAUCACCUCCCCUUGGCCCCUCCCUCUUCAUCAGCCCCAUUUUGGAGAAGGGAGAAAGAAGGGAGAGGCAGCAGUCUCCUCCCAGGUGGGGCCGGACUCCAGGGAAGGAGAAUUUUCAGAAGUUGCUGGAGUUGCCGAAUCUGUCAGGGCCCAGGGUUCACAGAGCAGUGAUGGAGGAGAAAGGAGAGGAAGCAGAUCUAAGCACACAUGGGCAUCAAACCAGAGGAACAAAGUCACAUGCAGAGGGCUGCACAUAGACACAGGGAAACACACACACGGAGAUGCACAGAAACACGCAGACCCCAUGCAGGGACCUGCUUUCCCGCCACAGAGGAAAGCAAUCUGAUCAAACAGACCCACUGUGCACCCAGCCCUCCAUGCUUGGGGAC
rnacentral:lncRNA from 1 species